rnacentral:rRNA from 1 species
UACGUAGGGUGCAAGCGUUAAUCGGAAUUACUGGGCGUAAAGCGUGCGCAGGCGGUUCUAUAAGACAGAUGUGAAAACCCCGGGCUCAACCUGGGAACUGCAUUUGUGACUGUAGAGCUGGAGUACGGCAGAGGGGGAUGGAAUUCCGCGUGUAGCAGUGAAAUGCGUAGAUAUGCGGAGGAACACCGAUGGCGAAGGCAAUCCCCUGGGCCUGUACUGACGCUCAUGCACGAAAGCGUGGGGAGCAAACAGG